UACGAAGGUGGCAAGCGUUUGUUCGGAUUUACUGGGCGUACAGGGAGCGUAGGCGGUUGGAUAAGCCCUCCGUGAAAUCUCCAGGCUUAACCUGGAAAGUGCAGAGGGGACUGUUCAGCUAGAGGAUGGGAGAGGAGCGCGGAAUUCCCGGUGUAGCGGUGAAAUGCGUAGAGAUCGGGAGGAAGGCCGGUGGCGAAGGCGGCGCUCUGGAAGCAUUUCUGACGCUGAGGCUCGAAGCGUGGGGAGCAACAGG
rnacentral:rRNA from 1 species